UAAUGAAGAAUAUAUAUUUAGAUAAAUUGAGAGAGCUUAACUGAGAGAGAGAGAGAGAGAGAGAGAGAGAGAGAGAGAGAGAGAGAGAGAGAGAGAGAGAGAGAUUUGAGGUUAAACCAAGAGAGAGUUGAGAUUAGAAAAAUAGUUUUCUAGGUUAAAUAUGUGAAAAGAUUUUUUUAAAAAAGGGAAGAUCUUAGCUUAAAGAGAGAGAUUUGAGGUUAGAGAGUGACGGAGUUGAGAUUUUAGCGAGAGAGGUAGAGAGAGAGCAUAAUUAAAGGAAUAGGGAGAGAGAUAGAGUCGAGAUUAGUGGGAGUGAGAGAGUUGAGGUUUCAAAAAGAGAGCGGGAGAGAGAGAUUAGUGUAGAGAGAAAAAAAGAAUUUAAGUUUAGAGAGAGAAAGAUAAGGAUGGGAUGCUUGUUCAUUGAAGCCAACAAUCUCUUUACCAGCACAUACACAUAUUUGUAAGAUGUAUAAUCGAACUCGUAACCACUAGCUCUGAUACCUCUUGUCGGAUUGUUCGCACUAAUCAUUAAUUCUAAAAGUUCGAACUGUUAGAAAAAUAUAAUAAAUUUAUUUAAUGUGUAUAAAAAUAGCCCCCACAGGUUUUGAUUAUGAUUUGGUCUAAUCGGUCGGCCUCUCACCACUUUGAACGUAACUCUGCCCCACCUGAUCUUCUGCUAUUUUAAAUGUGACUCGACCCAACUCAGCCUCCUACCAUAGGGCAUGGUGCUAACCCCUUUAUGCCACAAAUAUAUAUGGCGGUGCGAACCAAAUAAUAAAAUUUCGUAUUAUUAAUAAUUGAAUGAGUAGAAAUCCAAUCCUUAGAAAUUCUUUUACCAUUGGUAAUUUUUCAUAACAUGAACCAAGCGCAUCAUUAUGUGCAUUAGGCUGGAUAUUUUAGCCCCUUUUUCUUGGAGUUAGUUAUACUUGAAGGAACAAAUGGCAACUAAGAGGGGGAGUGAAUUAGUUGACAACUAAAAACUCAAGUAAAAUUAAAUCCAGAUAAAAAUUGCACAACCAAAUAAAAGAAGAAAAUCAAACUCAGAUAACACAGAUGAUUUAUCCUGAUUCGGCCCUUCUGCCUACUCCUGUCCGGUUCUUCUUCUCCUCGAGAUACCGAUUUCACUAUCACUUGACCUUUUGAAUAGGGUAAGACCAAAGCCACUUACAAUCACACAAAACUUGUUUUACAAUCUCUCAAUAAGUUCACAAUUACAAAUCAAUGAACAAUUAGGACUUAGAGAAUUUUUCUGAAGUUGUAUAUAAACAACAUCCAAGCCUCCCUUUAAAUAUACUAGCCAUCAUUUCAAAAAUGGAACAAAAGCAUAAUUAAAUCAUAAUUGAUUUCAAUUUGAAUUUUAACCAUAUUUGCAAAUGUAUUUGAAUUAAUUUCAAAAUAAAUUUGAAUUUAUACCACAUUUGCAAAACUCAUUUGAAAUAUUACUAUAUUGAAAAGCUCAUUUGAAAUUAUACCAAAUUUGUAAAAUCCUUUUAAAUUAAUACUACAAAUGAAAACUUUUUGAAUUCAUUCCACAUUUGUGAAAGCUUUUGAAAUAAUACCAAACUUGUAAAAUACAUUUAUAUCAUAUUUCACAUUUUCAAAUUCAUACCAUAAUAAAAUCAUGUUUGAAUUUAUACCAUACAUAAAAUGACUUUCAUAUCAUAUUAAAAUAAUGGCUAAUUUGACAUUAAGCUCAAAUCAAACCCAAAACGCAAGUUGGUUAACUUGACUAGGUUGGCCGGCUCAAAUCCGAUAAAUUGUAAAGAAGUCCUCCAAAUUAUUGUUGUGGCAUUUGCAUCCAAUUUGGUACAAUUUGAUAUUGCCCGGGCCAAUUUGAACAAUUUGAUUGAAUGAUUACCUUUGAUCAAUUCCGGUUCAACUUGAGCCACUUUAAAUUCAACUAUAACCUGAAAUUGCUAAAUGACAAAUUAAAUUCAAUAUUUAUUUGUUAUCAUCAAAAUUUAUUAUUGGAUAAAAUCCAACAAUAGUAUUAGUCUUUAGGUUUUUUUUUAAUUUAUGAUUUUAGUUCUAAUCUUCUUUAAGUUUUCACAACUAGAUUUAUAAUUUUAUUAUUUUAGUUAAGUUCGUAUGGUCAAAAAUUAAAUUAGAUCAUACAAAAAUUACCUCAUAGCGAGAUUUAAACUAAGGCGGCAAACAUUACCUGAUGGUAACAUAACAAAUUUUCUUAUACAGUUAACAAAGUUAUUGAUAAUGAAAAAUUCAUUAAAACAAAAUUAUUGCAAUGCGAUGAAUUUUUUUCUACUUUUCUAACGUCCUUUGAAUUCAAGAAAUGCUACAGCCUAGUUCGCAUAAAAAUAGAAGAGUAUAAAUUGCCUUAUCGGUAUUCGAACUUUUACUUCGUGUUAUUUUGAUUCUUAAACUUUUAAUCAAAAUUUAUGAGAUUCUGAGUUUUUGGAACUGAUCACUUAAGCUCUUAGUUUAGAAUAAAGAUUAGUACGUAGUACUUUGUUUAUCUAUAUGUGUAUAUGUGCACCACAAAUUCAUCUAUACUUUGUUUAUUUUAUACUUUUAAUCUAAAUAAAUGUCCAAUUAUUAGGUGUUAAAAUGGCAAUAUCUACUUCUUCCAUAACCAGCUGGGAACUGUUAGCGAUUCACGCAACAGCAUCAAUUACUCUACGCUGUACGGAGAUGACCAGAGAAUGCUAUAGGAUAUUCAAGCAACUUUUACUGAAUUAGAGGUUAAGAAGGCGAUCUUCUCUAGUGCGUCGGAAAAAGCACCUGAGCCGGACAGAUUACCAAUGUUGUUCUACCAAAAAUACUGGGACCUUCUCAAAAAUGAUAUAAUGGCACUGUUCGAUGACUUCCACGCGGUAUCGGCGUGCGACACCUAAAAAGUAUGAACUCUGCACUUUUGAUGAGGGGUCUUUGGAAUUUCCAUACUGCAUCGGCACUACCUUGGGUACAGCUCAUAAGAGAAAAACACUACAAGCGCUUUCUGCUCUCCUUGAGCAGCAGAAUUCCAGCUGGUUGCUCACCACUUUGGAAAAACCUCCUAAAAACCGCUCCACCGUUCUUCACUUCUAUUUCCUAUUUAACGGCGAACGGGAAAAAUACACCUUUCUGGAAUGCUCGUUGGUGUUUGGAGUCAACCCUGCAGGCCAGCUUCCCUCAUUUAUACGCUGCAGCGCACCUCAAGCAUGCGUCGGUCAAGACUUGGCUUGCAAAGUACGCGCUACAACUCCAUCAUGGUUUCGUGUCUCCGCUGAUUGAGAAAGGUCAGGAUGAGAUACAGCGCUUCUCUGACCUUGUAGUUGAUUUUCCCCUUUCAAGCGAUGUGGACUCGAUUGCUUGGAGAUGGAACAACGGUAGGAAAUUCUCAGUCCACAAUGCUUACAACUUCCUCAUCUUUGGGGGUGUCAUUGAUCGAAGGAUCUCUCAGCUAUGGAAACUGAAAAUUCCUCUCAAAAUCAAAAUUUUCACGUGGCUAGCCUCAAAGAAUAGGGUAUUAACGGCGGACACUCUGUCCAAGCGUGGCUGGCAGGGGCCGUCGAUUUGUGCUCUGUGUCACAGGAAUGGAGAAAACCUUGAACACUUACUUUUCGAAUGUACGUAUGCAAAGUCCCUGUGGAGCAUCCUGCUACAUGGAAUGCCGACCACUAUACAUCUCUUAUUAAAUCUACCGGGGGAUCUGCCAAUUAGAUGGAGCAGAGCAAGGAAUUCACAGUCAGGUCAGGCAAAGUUACGCCUCGAUCACUUCUUCGCAGCGGCGUGUUGGGAGCUUUGGAAGGAAAGAAACUCUCGAAUAUUCGAAAAUCGAGCAGCGGGAAGCGACGAAGUGGGCAACAAAGUGCUAUCGUCGGUUAACCUUUGGAAUUCUACCCUGAGGGAUUAGGGAGACUGGAGGAGUUUGAAGCUUACCCACGUUUCUCCUAUUACCUUGUAUCUUGUAUUUUGUCAACUCUCAAAUAAGGGGCUCCCUGUUUAAUCAAAAAAAAAAAAAUGGCAAUAUCUUAGUGGGCAAUUUGAUUGAAAUAUAAAAUAAAUGAUCGGGGGCGAAAGAUAUGCGCAUUUAAUAAUGUGAGCUGAAAUUGAAUUUUCAUUAAGCUUUUGACUAGAAUUUUUU
rnacentral:lncRNA from 1 species